GCAAGUGGGUGGAGUUGGUAAUGGCAGAGACGUGACGUGCGGCGCGGCGGUGGCAGGGGGCAGGUGGACUAGGUGCGGCGGCUAGGGUUAGGGGUUAGGUUUUUUCUGACAGUGUUUGGGUUAGGGUUUGUUUGUAAUUGGGCUGAGGGUCUAUUUUGGGUCUUGGGUUUGGGCUGGUGGGUUGUUUUGGUAAUGGGUUUGGGCUGGGUUAAAAUUGGGCUUGUACAAGAUCU
rnacentral:lncRNA from 1 species